rnacentral:rRNA from 1 species
CCCAGACUCCUACGGGAGGCAGCAGUGGGGAAUAUUGCACAAUGGGGGAAACCCUGAUGCAGCGACGCCGCGUGAGCGAAGAAGUAUUUCGGUAUGUAAAGCUCUAUCAGCAGGGAAGAAAAAAAUGACGGUACCUGAGUAAGAAGCACCGGCUAAAUACGUGCCAGCAGCCGCGGUAAUACGUAUGGUGCAAGCGUUAUCCGGAUUUACUGGGUGUAAAGGGAGCGUAGGCGGCGCGUUAAGUCUGAUGUGAAAACCCGAGGCUCAACCACGGGAGUGCAUUGGAAACUGGCGGGCUGGAGUGCCGGAGAGGUAAGCGGAAUUCCUAGUGUAGCGGUGAAAUGCGUAGAUAUUAGGAGGAACACCAGUGGCGAAGGCGGCUUACUGGACGGCAACUGACGCUGAGGCUCGAAAGCGUGGGGAGCAAACAGGAUUAGAUGCCCCAGUACA